CGGAGAAAAAGACAAUAACAAUGAUUCCUACAGUAACGGCGAGUGAAGUAGGAAAAGCCCAUAGCCGAAUUCCGCUGUCCUCGACGGCAGCUGGAAGUUGUGGCGUUUGGAACUGCCUGUAUGUAACCGAUUGGCCGGGCUACGCGACUCCUCUUGAUUGUGGUUUGCCCAUAGCAGGUGAAAGGCCUAUAGCUUUCGUAGCCUCGAUUUGAAGGCCAGCGGUGAUGGCAGUCCUUAGAGUCGGGUUGUUUGGGAUUGCAGCCCGAAGUAGGUGGUAAACUCCACCUAAGGCUAAAUACGGUCGCGAGUCCGAUAGCGCACAAGUACCGUGAGGGACAGUUGAAAAGAACUUUGAAGAGAGAGUUCAAAGUACGUGAAACCGUUCAGAGGUAAACGGGUAGAAAGUCGAAUUGAAAGUUGACAAUCAAACUAAGACUUUGUUGAAGUAGGCUAUUGGCACGUUAAAGGCUGUUAGUUUACUUGUUAGCAGGUUUUGGUUGUAUUUGUUGGCUUUGAAUCGCCGCGACGGCAGUGAUACUGACCGGUUUGGCGUCUGUUCCUCUGGUUAAUGUAGAUUCGUUUGAGUCUUUAAACAUUGGCACAAGGAUAGACGUCCCGUGUACAUAGCACAGUCGAUUUAACAACAGCCUAAGUGUACUAGCUGGUUGUUUGCUUGCCUUGUAUUGGUAGCUUGAUCUUAAACAAGUUCAUCUAUUGAUAUCAAGACGGCAGCAGUUGGCUUAAUGACAGCGCAAAGGUUGUUUGGUGGCGUUUGACAACGAGAUGUCUACCUGACCCGUCUUGAAACACGGACCAAGGAGUCUAACAUGUGCGCAAGCCAUUGGGAUUUUUAAUAAACCUAAAGGCAAAGUGAAAGCAAAUUAUGGUGAGAUCUGUCGUUUAUUUGUAACAGAAUAGCGGCAGCGCAUCAUCGUCACGCCUUAAUUCGGCUUCGGCUGAAGAGGCGCAGAUUGAGCGCACAAGUUGGGACCCGAAAGAUGGUGAACUAUGCGAGGCGAGGUCGAAGCCAGAGGAAACUCUGGUGGAGGACUGUAGCGGUUCUAACGUGCAAAUUGAUCGUCGCAGCUUCGUAUAGGGGCGAAAGACUAAUCGAACCAUCUAGUAGCUGGUUCCCUCCGAAGUUUCCCUCAGGAUAGCUGGCACUUUCGGAGAGCAGUUUUGUCCGGUAAAGCGAAUGACUAGAGGCCUUGGGGACAUAACGACCUCAACCUAUUCUCAAACUUUAAAUGGGCAAGAAGUGGGACUCACUUAAUUGGAGUCUCCACCUUUUCAGAAUGCUUGAGUGCCAAGUGGGCCGUUUUUGGUAAGCAGAACUGGCGCUGUGGGAUGAACCAAACGUCUAGCUAAGGUGCCAAAUGCUAACGCUCAUCUGAACCCAUUAAAGGUGUUGGUUGAUAGAGACAGCAGGACGGUGGCCAUGAA
rnacentral:rRNA from 1 species